CUACGGGGGGCUGCAGUGGGGAAUAUUGGACAAUGGACCAAAAGUCUGAUCCAGCAAUUCUGUGUGCACGAUGAAGGUUUUCGGAUCGUAAAGUGCUUUCAACAGGGAAGAAGUUCUGACGGUACCUGUAGAAGAAGUGACGGCUAAAUACGUGCCAGCAGCCGCGGUAAUACGUAUGUCACAAGCGUUAUCCGGAAUUAUUGGGCAUAAAGGGCAUCUAGGCGGCUUGGUAAGUCUGAUGUGAAAAUGCGGGGCUCAACCCCGUAUUGCGUUGGAUACUGCUAGGCUAGAGUAUUGGAGAGGUAGGCGGAACUACAUGUGUAGAGGUGAAAUUCGUAGAUAUAUGUAGGAAUGCCGAUGACGAAGGUAGCUUACUGGACAAUUACUGACGCUGAAGUGCGAAAGCUAGGGGAGCAAACAGGAUUAGAUACCCUGGUAGUC
rnacentral:rRNA from 1 species